GCACAAGCGGUGGAGCAUGUGGUUUAAUUCGACGCAACGCGAAGAACCUUACCAGGUCUUGACAUCCCCUGACAACCCGAGAGAUCGGGCGUUCCCCUUCGGGGGACAGGGUGACAGGUGGUGCAUGGUUGUCGUCAGCUCGUGUCGUGAGAUGUUGGGUUAAGUCCCGCAACGAGCGCAACCCUCGACCUUAGUUGCCAGCAUUCAGUUGGGCACUCUAAGGUGACUGCCGGCUAAAAGUCGGAGGAAGGUGGGGAUGACGUCAAAUCAUCAUGCCCCUUAUGACCUGGGCUACACACGUGCUACAAUGGGCGGUACAAAGGGUCGCGAACCCGCGAGGGGGAGCCAAUCCCAAAAAGCCGCUCUCAGUUCGGAUUGCAGGCUGCAACUCGCCUGCAUGAAGCCGGAAUCGCUAGUAAUCGCGGAUCAGCAUGCCGCGGUGAAUACGUUCCCGGGCCUU
rnacentral:rRNA from 1 species